rnacentral:misc_RNA from 1 species
AUUGCAGGUAUGCCCCCACCUCUUGCCUGGCCCAUUACUCUUCUGGGGUUGUUGAGCUUCUUGUUGAUGGGUUUGUUGUAACUGGAGCCUUUCCCACCUCAUUUUAUGGGAAAAUUCUUAAUGGCUGAUAAAGUGGAUGCAGUGAGAUUUUAUUUUAAGAAAAAUGGAAUCUAAAAGAAAUAAAGUUAGGAUUCUUAAUGCUGAUUUUCGUUUUGAGUUCUCAUGCAAGAGAAAAAUGUAAAGGCCUAAACAAGUUUUUUUUUUUUUUUGUGAAAAAGGCGUAAACAAGUUUUAAUUAAAUGGAGUUCAAGAGGGGAUUAAAGAAAGAAGAGUAAUCUCUGGAUGAG